GCCCGCAGUGUUAUUAACAACUGGAGCUCAGAGUCUCUCUAGCAGCUGCAUUUAGUGCAUCAGUGACCGACAGAGCAGCGGCUCCUCUCCGCCCCCUCCCAUCACUGAUGGAGGCAGGAAAAGCUGCCUUCAUUCAUUAAGAAGCGUCUCCACAGUAAAGAAGACCUGAGUUCAGCUACUGACCAUCAACUGGAGGAUGACACUGAGUGGAUGGGAGCAGAUCGGACUUUGGUGCGGUUAUAUUUCUCCAUUACUGUAAGCUACUGUGCGUAUAUGGUUGCACAUACGCAUCAUCAUUAUUAUUUAUUUGAAUAGUUAAAUGUCUUUUCAAAGCUAGUUUCCACAUGGUCUGCUGCGGACCCUGCUCACCACAUCUACACUUCAGACAGCUGCAAGUUCAGAGAGUGCCGGUGAUAAAGUGGACAAUGUGCUGCAUUCAGGUGCACCUCGGAAAUUCUCAAAUCUCUUCUUAAAUAGCUUGAAGAUUUUCAAAAAAUGUGUUGGCUUUGUUUCACUCACGUUUAUUAGUUACACAAAACAAAUUGCAGACCACAUUUACUGUAGUGAGAUUAAAAUUAAAAUUGUACUGUUUGUACCAUAUCUACACGUUAAAAACAUUAUUUGGUAUAAACUGUUCCAUUUCCCCUUUGUAAGACAGAAAUACGAAGAAACUUUUGUAACAUCUGCACUUUGACUCAAAUUUUGUCUGUGGUGUAUGGAUACAAGACAAUUACUGUGAGCAGACUAUUUCUGUAUAUAUAAAUAUGGCAGUAUUGUACAAUACCUUUACUAUUGUAAAAGUAAUUAUAUUUUUAAAGUAUUUUAAUACUCAUGGGGAGGGGUAAAUAAAAUGAUAUUUAUUGUUUUAA